rnacentral:tmRNA from 1 species
GGGGGUGUAAAGGAUUCGACGGGGAUCGGGACCCGAGGUAAGCGAGCAGCGGUGCGGAACCGCUUUAAAAGCCGCAAACUUUAAAAUUAAACGACAACGAUACAGUUGCCUUAGCAGCCUAAGUGCUGCUCGUCCUGCCUGAGAGUACUGCGGCUCGGGUAAGGGCGUCGAUUAGCAGUGAACGCAUUCAGGCACACUCCUUUAACCUGUCUGUGUACUAAAGGAUACUCAAAGGGAUAGCCCGUCGUCGGGCGCUCCCCGAGGGGAAUUUCAAAUCGACGAAUACGCUCGUAGAAAGCUUCGGCAAACGGUUUUCGGACAGGGGUUCGACUCCCCUCACCUCCAC